UACGAAGGGUGCUAGCGUUGUUCGGAAUUACUGGGCGUAAAGAGCGCGUAGGCGGUCGUACUAGUCAGGGGUGAAAUCCCACAGCUUAACUGUGGAACUGCCUUUGAAACUGUGCGGCUGGAGUGUGUGAGGGGAUAGCGGAAUUCCUAAUGUAGAGGUGAAAUUCGUAGAUAUUAGGAGGAACACCGGUGGCGAAGGCGGCUCUCUGGGCCGUAACUGACGCUGAGGAGCGAAAGCGUGGGGAGCGAACAGG
rnacentral:rRNA from 1 species